GCCCGGUUAGCUCAAUCGGUAGAGCGUGAGACUCUUAAUCUCAAGGUUGCGGGUGAGUAGCAUAUCUAGAUAUUCAUGUGUGAAUGAUGACUAACAAUAAUAUCGCUAGGUUCGACCCCCGCAUCGGGCU